GGCGAACGGGUGAGUAACACGUGGGCAAUCUGCCCUUCACUCUGGGACAAGCCCUGGAAACGGGGUCUAAUACCGGAUACGACGCGCGACCGCAUGGUCUGUGCGUGGAAAGCUCCGGCGGUGAAGGAUGAGCCCGCGGCCUAUCAGCUUGUUGGUGGGGUAAUGGCCUACCAAGGCGACGACGGGUAGCCGGCCUGAGAGGGCGACCGGCCACACUGGGACUGAGACACGGCCCAGACUCCUACGGGAGGCAGCAGUGGGGAAUAUUGCACAAUGGGCGAAAGCCUGAUGCAGCGACGCCGCGUGAGGGAUGACGGCCUUCGGGUUGUAAACCUCUUUCAGCAGGGAAGAAGCGAGAGUGACGGUACCUGCAGAAGAAGCGCCGGCUAACUACGUGCCAGCAGCCGCGGUAAUACGUAGGGCGCANGCGUUGUCCGNANUAUUGGGCGUAAGAGCUCGUAGGCGGCUUGUCACGUCCGAAUGUGAAAACCCGGGGCUUA
rnacentral:rRNA from 1 species